AUGUGCUUAUAGAUCUUAAUGCAUGUUUAAGUCUAAUAAGCAUUUUUGAGCAUGUAUAUCAUUUCACAGUAAAUAUUAUGUGUUUUAAUGCUUUGAUAAUGUUAAACAGAGUUCUUUGUGCGCUUAGGGAAGGUUAUGUUCAGUAUGAAUGAUAUGACCAGGGUAUCAUCUGAUUGUCUUGCGCACAUAUACCUGCAGUUAUGAGAUGUUGUUGGUUAUAGUACAGUACAUGAUAUGAUCUGGUUAUGCAUGGAAUGUUGAAGGCUAUGUGUUUGAUUUGAUGUGAACUUGCAUUUGCUUCUGGUUCUUAAAACCUUAAAAUUUUGAUCUUUCGUUUGCGAAUGUAUGAUCAAGCAAGAUUUUGUGGCAAUUCUUAUACAUACACAUUUCUUAAUAGAAGUUGAUUUAAGUAAAUUGUAAAUGUCAUCUCCUGUGCACAUGUUAACAAGAUAAGUUUUAUUUCAUGUCAAUGUCUAUAUUAAUAAAUGUUAAAAAUAA